UAGGCAUGCUGGGGUUCCGCCAGCGGCGCCCGGAUUUCAAGUGGGGGAAAACAACUUUUCCAGCCAUUUACCGACACCGUCCGGAACACAA
rfam:Bartonella apis strain PEB0149 NODE_1_len_1448678_cov_97_6187_ID_1.8, whole genome shotgun sequence.